ACGAAACUCAUCACAACCUACGCAUGCAAACGGAAAAAAAAUAUUAGAACUGCCUAUACAAAUGUACGUAGUCACAUCAACUCCUGCUAUUAUGCAUGCACAUAGCAACUCAUCCUCGAAAACCAUGCCUAACCAGGACAUGCACCAACCAGCAACAAAAUCGGAAACCACCACCCUGAUGCCAUCCGACCUACCUCGCUACGUGCACCCAGGCAGUGCAGCCCGCCAUAUACUCCCCAAUAAUAUACAACAUGUCUAUACCAGUUAUUCCAUUUAGGCUGCAAAAAAUUGAGAAAAACAUAAGCAACAUAUGUUACAAUCAUAUCUACAAACAUAUGCAGGAGUCAUGAAAGUAGAGUUCCAGCAGCGACUGAAUUCUGUCGGAAUCCAUAUAUGAACACAAAAUAAGGAAAAGUAAAUGAAAUGCAAGACGCUCAACACGUCAAAAUACUGAUCCAUGCGAACUGUACGAUAGGCCUUCCAUGCUACAAUGAUGGCCUAUAUGGGUGGGACUGAAGCAGAUGAUGCCAUGGGUUAGUAGGGACGACAUGGACAUACGCGACUGCGAGGAGAAACAUAGCUCGGCGGCCAUGGAGGGAGGCGGUCGAUGGCCACAGGCAGCAGUUGCAGUGGUGGCGACCUCCACGGCGUCAACCGCAUGCCAUAUAUCAAUGAGCUCGAGCC
rnacentral:lncRNA from 1 species